GAUGAAGAACGUAGCGAAAUGCGAUAAGUAAUGUGAAUUGCAGAAUUCAGUGAAUCAUCGAAUCUUUGAACGCACAUUGCGCCCGCCAGUAUUCUGGCGGGCAUGCCUGUCUGAGCGUCAUUUCAACCCUCAUGCCCCUAGGGCGUGGUGUUGGGGAUCGGCCAAAGCCCGCGAGGGACGGCCGGCCCCUAAAUCUAGUGGCGGACCCGUCGUGGCCUCCUCUGCGAAGUAGUGAUAUUCCGCAUCGGAGAGCGAUGAGCCCCUGCCGUUAAACCCCCAACUUUCCAAGGUUGACCUCAGAUCAGGUAGGAAUACCCGCUGAACUUAAGCAUAUCAAUAAGCGGAGA
rnacentral:misc_RNA from 1 species